UACGUAGGGUGCGAGCGUUGUCCGGAAUUAUUGGGCGUAAAGAGCUUGUAGGCGGUCUGUCGCGUCUGCUGUGAAAAUCCGGGGCUCAACCCCGGACUUGCAGUGGGUACGGGCAGACUAGAGUGUGGUAGGGGAGACUGGAAUUCCUGGUGUAGCGGUGAAAUGCGCAGAUAUCAGGAGGAACACCGAUGGCGAAGGCGGGUCUCUGGGCCGUAACUGACGCUGAGGCGCGACAGCGUGGGGAGCAAACAGG
rnacentral:rRNA from 1 species